ACGGAGGGUGCAAGCGUUAUUCGGAAUUACUGGGCGUAAAGCGCGUGUAGGCGGCCCUGCAAGUCUGAUGUGAAAGCCCCGGGCUUAACCCGGGAAGUGCAUUGGAAACUGCAGGUCUUGAGUACUGGAGAGGAUGGGGGAAUUCCCGGUGGCGAGGUAGAAGGCGGAUAGAUGGGGAGGAAUAGCAGUGGCGUGGGCGCACAGCUGUAUGGGAACUGCGGCUGGUACGAGUAAGUGUGUGGAGUGAUGUG
rnacentral:rRNA from 1 species